rnacentral:misc_RNA from 1 species
GUUUCCGUAGGUGAACCUGCGGAAGGCUCAUUAUUGUAUAACCGAGGUGCGAGUGCUGUCGCUGACCCGAAAGGUCGUGCACGCCCGAGUGCCCUCACACACAUCCAUCUCACCCCUAUGUGCACCACCGCGUGGGUCCCCCUUUGGCUUGUUCGGAGGGGGGCUUACGUUUUCACACAAACUUUGUAUGCAGUGUAUAAUGUAUUUUUUGUUUUUGCGAUCACGCACUCAAUACAACUUUCAACAACGGAUCUCUUGGCUCUC